UACAGAGGUCCCAAGCGUUGUUCGGAUUCAUUGGGCGUAAAGGGUGCGUAGGCGGCGCGGUAAGUCGGGUGUGAAACCUCGGGGCUUAACUCCGAAACUGCAUUCGAUACUGCCGUGCUUGAGGACUGGAGAGGAGACUGGAAUUUACGGUGUAGCGGUGAAAUUCGUAGAUAUCGAGAGGAACACCGGUGGCGAAGGCGGCCAACUGGACGAGUACUGACGCUGAGACACGAAAGCGUGGGGAGCAAACAGG
rnacentral:rRNA from 1 species